GAAAAAAGUAAGAGAAAGUACAUAAGCAGUUCGAGAGUAACCAUAACAUCCUCUACAGCAGCAACAACAACAGAUACAAACUAGUAGCGAGGAUAUGACAUAUACUACAAACCAGAAAACAGCAAUGAUGAAAAGAGAAGAUUUUCAUCGAUCAGCAGGCAAACUCCUGGACGACAUUUCAUAUAAUAACUGAUCACACAAGGAAACAAUCCAAUAGUAGGAUUAAGGAGGUUCGGAAGGACAUCAAACCAGGUAUUGAUAAUGGCAGAGUGGCCUUACAGCCAAAUAGCUGAUAAGAAGCCAAUAGAUUUGCAUUUAACCGCAUGACAGUUUUGGCUGUUAUAUCUUGUUAACAAGGUACCUUCCAAGAGAAUCGAUAGGCUUGGUAGAGUCAUAAUUUUGCAUUCCCCGUUGUCUAAUUUUAAUUCGAGCAAUGUAAUCUG
rnacentral:misc_RNA from 1 species